rnacentral:rRNA from 1 species
AUGGAUUUUUUUGUUUUGGCAAGAGCAUGAGAGCUUUUACUGGGCAAGAAGACAAGAGAUGGAGAGUCCAGCCGGGCCUGCGCUUAAGUGCGCGGUCUUGCUAGGCUUGUAAGUUUCUUUCUUGCUAUUCCAAACGGUGAGAGAUUUCUGUGCUUUUGUUAUAGGACAAUUAAAACCGUUUCAAUACAACACACUGUGGAGUUUUCAUAUCUUUGCAACUUUUUCUUUGGGCAUUCGAGCAAUCGGGGCCCAGAGGUAACAAACACAAACAAUUUUAUUUAUUCAUUAAAUUUUUGUCAAAAACAAGAAUUUUCGUAACUGGAAAUUUUAAAAUAUUAAAAACUUUCAACAACGGAUCUCUUGGUUCUCGCAUCGAUGAAGAACGCAGCGAAAUGCGAUACGUAAUGUGAAUUGCAGAAUUCCGUGAAUCAUCGAAUCUUUGAACGCACAUUGCGCCCCUUGGUAUUCCAGGGGGCAUGCCUGUUUGAGCGUCAUUUCCUUCUCAAACAUUCUGUUUGGUAGUGAGUGAUACUCUUUGGAGUUAACUUGAAAUUGCUGGCCUUUUCAUUGGAUGUUUUUUUUCCAAAGAGAGGUUUCUCUGCGUGCUUGAGGUAUAAUGCAAGUACGGUCGUUUUAGGUUUUACCAACUGCGGCUAAUCUUUUUUAUACUGAGCGUAUUGGAACGUUAUCGAUAAGAAGAGAGCGUCUAGGCGAACAAUGUUCUUAAAGU